GGGUGAGUAGAGUGGCGCACGGGAGAGUAAUGGAUAGGAACGUACCUUUAAGUGGGGAAUAACCAUUGGAAACGAUGGCUAAUACCGCAUGUGGUCUUAGGACUAAAGUGGGCGCCUUCGGGGCUCGCGCUUAAAGAUCGGCCUAUCUCCCAUUAGCUUGAUGGUGGGGUAAAGGCCUACCAUGGCGACGAUGGGUAGCUGGUCUGAGAGGAUGAUCAGCCUCACUGGGACUGAGACACGGCCCAGACUCC
rnacentral:rRNA from 1 species